rnacentral:rRNA from 1 species
GAUGAACGCUGGCGGCGUGCCUAAUACAUGCAAGUCGAGCGAACAGAUGAGGAGCUUGCUCCUCUGACGUUAGCGGCGGACGGGUGAGUAACACGUGGAUAACCUACCUAUAAGACUGGGAUAACUUCGGGAAACCGGAGCUAAUACCGGAUAAUAUAUUGAACCGCAUGGUUCAAUAGUGAAAGACGGUUUUGCUGUCACUUAUAGAUGGAUCCGCGCCGCAUUAGCUAGUUGGUAAGGUAACGGCUUACCAAGGCAACGAUGCGUAGCCGACCUGAGAGGGUGAUCGGCCACACUGGAACUGAGACACGGUCCAGACUCCUACGGGAGGCAGCAGUAGGGAAUCUUCCGCAAUGGGCGAAAGCUUGACGGAGCAACGCCGCGUGAGUGAUGAAGGUCUUCGGAUCGUAAAACUCUGUUAUUAGGGAAGAACAAAUGUGUAAGUAACUAUGCGCGUCUUGACGGUACCUAAUCAGAAAGCCACGGCUAACUACGU